GAUGAACGCUGGCGGCGUGCCUAAUACAUGCAAGUCGAGCGAACAGACGAGGAGCUUGCUCCUCUGACGUUAGCGGCGGACGGGUGAGUAACACGUGGAUAACCUACCUAUAAGACUGGGAUAACUUCGGGAAACCGGAGCUAAUACCGGAUAAUAUAUUGAACCGCAUGGUUCAAUAGUGAAAGACGGUUUUGCUUUCACUUAUAGAUUGAUCCGCGCCGCAUUAGCUAGUUGGUAAGGUAACGGCUUACCAAGGCAACGAUGCGUAGCCGACCUGAGAGGGUCAUCGGCCACACUGGCACUGAGACACGGUCCAGACUCCUGCGGGAGGCAGCAGUCGGGAAUCUUCCGCAAUGGGCGAAAGCUUGACGGAGCAACGCCGCGUGAGUGCUGAAGGUCUUCGGAUCGUAAAACUCUGUUAUUAGGGAAGAACAAAUGUGUAAGUAACUAUGCACGUAUUGACGGUACCUAAUCAGAAAGCCACGGCUAACUACGUG
rnacentral:rRNA from 1 species